UCGCUCCUACCGAUUGAGUGAUCCGGUGAAUAAUUCGGACUGCUGCAAGGCUCAGUUCCUGAACCUUGCGGCGGAAAGUUUAGUGAACCUUAUCACUUAGAGGAAGGAG
rnacentral:rRNA from 1 species